UAACAAGAGGAAAAAUUUGGACUGAUUGCAACCUCUUUUUGGAACUUCCGAAAAAAUGCUAAAACAGUGACU
rfam:Capnocytophaga canimorsus strain CcD38 genome assembly, contig: CCAND38_Contig_37